AUGAACGCUGACAGCAUGCUUAACACAUGCAAGUCUUUGGCGAAGCUGUGCUUGCACAGCCUAGCCAAGGCGGACGGGUGAGUAACGCGUAAGGAACUUGCCCUGCAGUCAGGGAUAACAGACGGAAACGACUGAUAAGACCUGGUAAAGUCAGGCGGACUCAUGUCCAGCCUGAUGAAAAGAGAUGCUGCAGGAGAGCCUUGCGUCCUAUUAGCUUGUUGGUGGGGUAACGGCCCACCAAGGCGAUGAUAGGUAGCCGGCCUGAGAGGGUGGACGGCCACAAGGGGACUGAGAUACGGCCCUUACUCCUACGGGAGGCAGCAGUGGGGAAUAUUGGACAAUGGGGGCAACCCUGAUCCAGCAAUUCUGUGUGCACGAUGAAGGUUUUCGGAUUGUAAAGUGCUUUCAGCAGGGAAGAAAAAAAUGACGGUACCUGCAGAAGAAGCGACGGCUAAAUACGUG
rnacentral:rRNA from 1 species